CCGUAGGUGAACCUGCGGAAGGAUCAUUACUGUGAUUUAUAUCUUAUACACAUGCGUGAGCGCACCAAACACCUAAAAUUGUAAUACUACCAGUCACUAAGUUUUAACAAAACAAAACUUUCAACAACGGAUCUCUUGGUUCUCGCAUCGAUGAAGAGCGCAGCGAAAUGCGAUACCUAGUGUGAAUUGCAGCCAUCGUGAAUCAUCGAGUUCUUGAACGCACAUUGCGCCCCAUGGUAUUCCAUGGGGCAUGCCUGUCUGAGCGUCGUUUCCUUCUUGCGCAAGCAGAGUUGAGAACAGGCUAUGCCUUUUUCGAAAUGGAACGUCGUGGACGAAGUGAACUAAAUUUUUAGCACGCUUUGGCCGCCGAACUUUUAACUAAGCUCGACCUCAGAUCAGGUAGGAAUACCCGCUGAACUUAAGCAUAUCAAUAAGCGGAGGA
rnacentral:rRNA from 1 species